UUCCUUAAAUUCGUGGUUACUUUAUUGAAAUUAGUUCACAGGGAUGUUAAUUCAGUUGUCAGUAUAUGUCGAUACGACUAAUAAAUGAUCAAUUUGAAUGUUUAUCGUUUGUUAGUAAUGUUAGCUCGAGCGCUGUCAGCUUGACUGAGCUCGUCGCGCAGGUGACGCGCAGGUCAGUUAGAAAUCUUUUAUUUGUCUUUAUAUCUUCUAUAUAAUCGUGUUAUGCUUGUUUUUAAAUGUAUUGUAAAUUGUUUAGUUAAUUAUAAUGCAAGUUUACUCCAAGUAUUGUAGUGUGGGCUUUUUCAGCUUACGGCUAGCCUGAUUGAGCUCGUGGCACAGCUGUGAGCUAGCAGUUAACAUCCUUUUCUUGGUGUGUCUUGAUGUUUUCUAUUGGCUAAAGACAAUAAAAGCAUAGAGAUAUAUAAAGCAAAGACAACUAUAAGAGAAUCCUUCAGGGGCCAGUAAAACAUCUACAGUUACAGCAGUAAACAUACUUGUUAUGGGGUAAGAAAAACUAGUACAGUGUAGAUAUGAAUUAUGGUAUCCUAAGCACUUCUCUUAUUAUUGCUUCUGUCUUGUUCUUCAUUUUUUGUAGUGCAAAUAAGGAGACUUCGAGUAAGUAUAAAUUGAGCUUUUAGUACUGACGUGAAUAUUACAUCGCCAUUCGUUUGAAAGAAAUAGAAAAGCGCUACGUUUUAUUUUGUACCACCAAACUUGCUCGUAUAACUACGAUAAUAAUACUUUUUCUGAUGCUGCUGUUUACUCCA